rnacentral:rRNA from 1 species
CCCGCAACGAGCGCAACCCUUGCCAUUAGUUGCUAACAUUCAGUUGAGCACUUUAAUGGGACUGCCGGUGACAAACCGGAGGAAGGUGGGGAUGACGUCAAGUCCUCAUGGCCCUUAUGACCAGGGCUUCACACGUCAUACAAUGGUCGGUACAGAGGGUCGCCAACCCGCGAGGGGGAGCUAAUCUCAUAAAACCGAUCGUAGUCCGGAUUGCACUCUGCAACUCGAGUGCAUGAAGUCGGAAUCGCUAGUAAUCGCGGAUCAG